rnacentral:rRNA from 1 species
AGUGGAUGGGGAGCAACCUAGUUGUGCGUGUGUAAAGGUAGUGCCAAGAAAAGCGGUGAUCAUGAUGAAAAUCAAUUCCCGGUACCCGAAACCGACACAGGUGGGCAAGUAGAGAAUACUAAGGGGCGCGAGGUAACUCUCUCCAAGGAACUCGGCAAAAUGACCCCGUAACUUAGGGAGAAGGGGUGCCACCGAGAGGUGGUCGCAGUGAAGAGGCCCAGGCGACUGUUUAGCAAAAACAUAGGUCUCUGCAAACUCGAAAGAGGAGGUAUAGGGGCUGACGCCUGCCCAGUGCCGGAAGGUUAAAGAAGUUGGUCAGUCUUAGGAUGAAGCUAGCGACUGAAGCCCCGGUGAACGGCGGCCGUAACUAUAACGGUCCUAAGGUAGCGAAAUUCCUUGUCGGGUAAGUUCCGACCCGCACGAAAGGCGUAACGAUCUGGGCGCUGUCUCGGAGAGAGGCUCGGCGAAAUAGGAUUGUCUGUGAAGAUACGGACUACCUGCAUUUGGACAGAAAGACCCUAUGAAGCUUUACUAUAGCUUGGAAUUGUGUUCGGGCUUCCUGUGCGCAGGAUAGGUGGGAGGCGUAGAAGGUAUUCUUGUGGGGAUACUGGAGCCAACGGUGAGAUACCACUCUCAGGAGGCUAGAAUUCUAACUUAAUUAAGGACAGUUUCAGGUGGGUAGUUUGACUGGGGCGGUCGCCUCCAAAAAGGUAACGGAGGCGUACAAAGGUUCCCUCAGACUGGUUGGAAAUCAGUCGCAGAGUGCAAAGGCAGAAGGGAGCUUGACUGCGAGAAGUACAGUUCGAGCAGGGUGGAAACACGGUCUUAGUGAUCCGACGGUGCUGUGUGGAAGGGCCGUCGCUCAACGGAUAAAAGUUACUCUAGGAUAACAGGCUGAUCUCCCCCAAGAGUUCACAUCGACGGGGAGGUUUGGCACCUCGAUGUCGGCUCAUCGCAACCUGGGGCGGAAGUACGUCCCAAGGGUUGGGCUGUUCGCCCAUUAAAGCGGUACGUGAGCUGGGUUCAGAACGUCGUGAGACAGUUCGGUCCAUAUCCGAUGUAGGCGUGAGAAUAUUGAGAGGAGCCUUCCUUAGUACGAGAGGACCGGGAAGGACGCACCGCUGGUGUACCUGUUGUGAUGCCAAUUGUAAACGCAGGGUAGCCAAGUGCGGAGAGGAUAACCGCUGAAAGCAUCUAAGUGGGAAGCCCACCUCAAGAUGAGUAUUCUGGUGUAAGGUCACGGGAAGACGACCCGUAAAUAGGCACGAGGUGGAAGUGCAGAGAUGUAUGAAGCCGAAGUGUACUAAUAGACCGUCGGCUAGACC